ACAGCAGUCGCCACGGUAACACAGAGGGUGCGAGCGUUAAUCGGAUUUACUGGGCGUAAAGCGUGCGUAGGCGGCUUCUUAAGUCGGAUGUGAAAUCCCUGAGCUUAACUUAGGAAUUGCAUUCGAUACUGGGAAGCUAGAGUAUGGGAGAGGAUGGUAGAAUUCCAGGUGUAGCGGUGAAAUGCGUAGAGAUCUGGAGGAAUACCGAUGGCGAAGGCAGCCAUCUGGCCUAAUACUGACGCUGAGGUACGAAAGCAUGGGGAGCAAACAGGAUUAGAUACCCCUGUAGUCCCUGUCUCUUAUAU
rnacentral:rRNA from 1 species